AGCAGCCGCCGCGGUAAUACGGAGGGAGCUAGCGUUGUUCGGAAUUACUGGGCGUAAAGCGCGCGUAGGCGGUUACUCAAGUCAGAGGUGAAAGCCCGGGGCUCAACCCCGGAACUGCCUUUGAAACUAGGUGACUAGAAUCUUGGAGAGGUCAGUGGAAUUCCGAGUGUAGAGGUGAAAUUCGUAGAUAUUCGGAAGAACACCAGUGGCGAAGGCGACUGACUGGACAAGUAUUGACGCUGAGGUGCGAAAGCGAGGGGAGCAAACAGGAUUAGAUACCCGUGUAGUCCCUGUCUCUUAUAC
rnacentral:rRNA from 1 species